AAGGCACGGCUCAACACAUUCCGUGCAGUUUGGCGCAAUUAUAGCGAGAUGUAAAUGAGUGGUCCUAGUUUCAACAUUGGGUUUUGUCCUUCCAUCAUGGGUAUACUUUUGUGUGGCGAAGCUGCUCCAUGAUGCUGGCCUUCCUAAGGGUGUUCUCAAUAUGAUUUCCAUAUAUGGUCUUACGGAUGGUGCAACACUUGCUAGUCAUAUGGAUGUCGACAAGGAUCAACUAUAACCGGCAAAAUUGUUUCUGAACUGGCUGGUUGAAGCAACCUUAAGCCAGUGACUCUGGAGCUUGGAGAGAAAUCUCCAUUCAUUGUAUGUGAAGAUGCCGACAUUCACAAGGCUGUUGAAACUUCCCACUUCGCUCUAUUCUUUAACCAGGUUGGGAUUUAUGAACUUAAAGCCAGGUAUUAUGGAGAACUUGACGAAAAAUGUUGCAAGGAUAGCUUAGGGAUGAUUUGUGCUUGGAGACUAGUGUUUGGGAAAUGCUCAG